GGGCCGAUGGUCUAGACCGGUCAUGACGUCGCGCUUACAACGCGGAGGUCGGCGGUUCGAAUCCGCCUCGGCCCA
rnacentral:tRNA from 1 species